GAUGAACGCUGGCGGCGUGCCUAAUACAUGCAAGUCGAGCGAACAGAUGAGGACCUUUCUCCUCUGACGUCAUCGCCGGUCGGGUCAGUAACACGUGGAUAACCUACCUAUAAGACUGGGAUAACUUCGCGAAACCGGAUCUUAUACCGGAUAAUAUAUUGAACUGCAUGGUUCAAUCGUUAAAGACGGUUUUUCGGUCACUUAUAGAUGGACACGCGCCGCAUUAGCUAGUGGGUAAGGUAACGGAUUACCAACGCUACGAUGCGUAGCCGACCCGAAAGGGUGGUUGGCCACCCUGGAAGUGAGAAACGGCACACACUCCUACGGGAGGCAGCAGUCGGGAAUCUUACGCGAUGCGCGAAAGGCUAACAGAGCACCACCGCCUGAGUGAUGAAGGUGUUCGGAUGGUAAAGUUCUGUUAUUAGUGAAGAACAAAUGUGUAAGUAACCAUGAACGUAUUGACGGUACCUAAACAGAAAGCCCCGGCUAACUACGUG
rnacentral:rRNA from 1 species